AAAUAAUUUUGAAUUAAGGCUUUACAAAGUAUUCUCAGACUACAACAAGUGAACCAGAUCAUAAUCCGAGGACCCAAACCAUUGAGGUGAAUUGAAGCUGGGGAGUGGGGGGAGAGGAGAAAUCACAGCAAUUUCUAGCAACUGAAGGUCUGAGAAGAAAAAAGAACCAAAAGUGUGGCAUGGAAAAUACCAGCCUGGAGAUAUCAUAUGGCACUAACGCAGUGAGACGAGACAGCUCACCCAGCCCUGACCAACCUAAAGAGAACCAGGAAAAGAAAGACACCUGCCAAACUCAACCAGAUGGUGUCCAGACCAAGGAAGCAAGCCAGGUCCCAGAGCUGCACCUAUUGUGCCAACCCAUCUACUCAGGGCUUGCAGCUACACCAGACCUGCAGUGACCCCAGUAGACUAUAAAUAGAAAAUGUAGUUUCUGUAUCUAUCUCAUGGUAUUUUCUCUAUUGUUUUCUUUGCUUAAAUAAAUAAAAGUCUUAAAAUAAAAUGUCCA
ensembl:lncRNA